GGAUGUGAGGGCGAUCUGGCUGCGACGUCUGUCACCCCACUGAUCGCCAGGGUUGGCGUGGCUGAUGCGGCUGGCUAGGCGGGUGUCCCCUUCCUCCCUCACCGCUCCACGUGCGUCCCUCCCGAAGCUGCGCGCUCAGUCGAAGACGACGACCUUCCCCGAUAGAGGAGAGGACCGCUCCUCGGUCAAGGGUGUACGAGUAGCUGCGCUCCCCUGCUAGAACCUCCAAACAAGCUCUCAAAAACCUGCUGCCCAGAGCCCAUAGGCAGCUUUAU
rnacentral:snRNA from 1 species